UACGUAGGGUCCAAGCGUUGUCCGGAUUUAUUGGGCGUAAAGAGCUCGUAGGCGGUUCGGUAAGUCGGGUGUGAAACCUCCAGGCUCAACCUGGAGUCGCCACUCGAUACUGCUGUGACUAGAGUCCGGUAGGGGAGCGUGGAAUUCCUGGUGUAGCGGUGAAAUGCGCAGAUAUCAGGAGGAACACCAGCGGCGAAGGCGGCGCUCUGGGCCGGAACUGACGCUGAGGAGCGAAAGCGUGGGUAGCAAACAGG
rnacentral:rRNA from 1 species